rnacentral:rRNA from 1 species
UGCCAGCCGCCGCGGUAACACGGGGGGCGCAAGCGUUAUUCGGAAUUAUUGGGCGUAAAGGGCGCGCAGGCGGUCUUGUCCGUCAGGUGUGAAAGCUCGGGGCUCAACCCCGGAAGUGCACUUGAAACAGCAAGACUUGAAUACGGUAGAGGAGAGAGGAAUUCCUGGUGUAGAGGUGAAAUUCGUAGAUAUCUGGAGGAACACCGGUGGCGAAGGCAUCUCUCUGGGAUUGUUCUGACGCUGAGGCGCGAAGGCGUGGGUAGCGAACGGCAUUAGAUA